UGAAAACAAAAUAAUAAAUUAAAAAGGAUGAGAAUCAUUUCAACUUCAAAAUAAUAAGAAGAAUGAAGUCAAAGACAUAAGACAUAAAGCAACAAAAUUUAGGACUAUGUUAUAAACUUGUGACAACUCUAUAAUCCCUUCCUAGAAGAUUGCACAAAUAUGCUUUUCAAAUAUCACGAUAAUCAAAAUAACAAUACAAUGACGAUAACACAAAUCUCGUACUGAUGGUUUCCUAAAAUAAUUAUUAAGUGGCUAAAUAAUUUUAAUUUGAUAACAUCCCACCCAUCAUCACCAUAAACUUUAACAUAAUAAGCAAAACAACCAACAUUUAAUAAUCCCAAGUCAAGAACAAAACUAAAAUUGAAGAAAACCCAUGUCAUAUCACUCUCUCUUACAGAAAAAACACUUCUGUAAAACAGGAAACACAUAAAAUGACAAACCUUGAUCAAGAGUUCAUUAAGAGUUUUCCAAACCAAAUCCUCAAAAAACCCAAAAGCACNNNNN
rnacentral:lncRNA from 1 species